GGAGGUUGGCGGUGGACGGGACGCUCGCCAAUCCGGUCAGGUCCGGAAGGAAGCAGCCGUAACGAGAUUUUCCCGGGUCGCCUGUCCAGCCUCCCAC
rnacentral:SRP_RNA from 1 species